UAAGGAAUAUUGGACAAUGGAGGCAACUCUGAUCCAGCCAUGCCGCGUGAAGGAAUAAGGCCCUAUGGGUUGUAAACUUCUUUUAGACGGGACAAAACCCCUUUACGUGUAAAGGGUUGAUGGUACUGUCAGAAUAAGCAUCGGCUAACUUCGUGCCAGCAGCCGCGGUAAUACGAAGGAUGCAAGCGUUAUCCGGAAUUAUUGGGUUUAAAGGGUGCGUAGGCGGACUAAUAAGUCAGUGGUGAAAGCCUGCAGCUUAACUGCAGAAUUGCCAUUGAUACGGUUAGUCUUGAGUACAGUUGAGGUAGGCGGAAUGUGUCAUGUAGCGGUGAAAGGCUUAGAUAUGACACAGAACACCGAUUGCGAAGGCAGCUUGCUAAGCUGUAACUGACGCUGAGGCACGAAAGCGUGGGGAGCAAACA
rnacentral:rRNA from 1 species